rnacentral:rRNA from 1 species
GAUGGCACUCUCAUUGGGCCUAAAGCGUCCGUAGCUGGCCGCGCAAGCCGUCGGGAAAUCCAUCAGCUCAACUGAUGGGCGUCCGGCGGAAACUGCACGGCUUGGGACCGGAAGGCUCGAGAGGUACGUCCGGGGUAGGAGUGAAAUCCCGUAAUCCCGAACGGACCACCGAUGGCGAAAGCAUCUCGAGAAAACGGAUCCGACAGUGAGGGACGAAAGCUAGGGUCUCGAACC